UAUAGCGUAUAUUAAUGUUGUUGCAGUUAAAAAGCUCGUAGUUGGAUUUUGGAGUUUGACAAGUGGUCUGCCUAAGGUGUGUACUGCUUGUCGGCUCUUCUUUUCUGGGGACCACGCUGCUCUUUAUUGAGGGGUGCUGGGAAUCAGAUCUUUUACUUUGAAAAAAUUAGAGUGUUCAAAGCAGGCCCACGCAUUGAAUACAUUAGCAUGGAAUAAUGGAAUAGGACUUUGGUCUUAUUUUGUUGGUUUCUAAGGCCGAGGUAAUGAUUAAUAGGGAUAGUUGGGGGCGUUUAUAUUCCAUUGUCAGAGGUGAAAUUCUUGGAUUUAUGGAAGAUAAACUACUGCGAAAGCAUUCGCCAAGGAUGUUUUCAUUAAUCAAGAACGAAAGUUAGGGGAUCGAAGACGAUCAGAUACCGUCGUAGUCUUAACCAUAAACCAUGCCGACUAGGGAUCAGCAGACGUUCCUUAACGACUCUGUUGGCACCUUGUGAGAAAUCAA
rnacentral:rRNA from 1 species